AAGCGUGCGCAGGCGGUUUUGUAAGACUGUCGUGAAAUCCCCGGGCUCAACCUGGGAAUGGCGAUGGUGACUGCAAGGCUAGAGUUUGGCAGAGGGGGGUAGAAUUCCACGUGUAGCAGUGAAAUGCGUAGAUAUGUGGAGGAACACCGAUGGCGAAGGCAGCCCCCUGGGUCAAAAACUGACGCUCAUGCACGAAAGCGUGGGGAGCAAACAGGAUUAGAUACCCUGGU
rnacentral:rRNA from 1 species